GACUCUCGGCAACGGAUAUCUCGGCUCUCGCAUCGAUGAAGAACGUAGCAAAAUGCGAUACCUGGUGUGAAUUGCAGAAUCCCGCGAACCAUCGAGUUUUUGAACGCAAGUUGCGCCCGAGGCCUUCUGGCCGAGGGCAUGCCUGCCUGGGCGUCA
rnacentral:rRNA from 1 species